AGAGUUUGAUCCUGGCUCAGGAUGAACGCUAGCUACAGGCUUAACACAUGCAAGUCGUGGGGCAGCGGAUGCUUAGCUUGCUAAGUAUGCCGGCGACCGGCGCACGGGUGAGUAACGCGUACCGAACCUGCCCAUCACACAGGGAUAGGCUUGCGAAAGCAAGAUUAAUACCUGAUGGUCUCAGUUGUAUGCAUGUAUGAUUGAGUAAAGCCUUCGGGCGGUGAUGGAUGGCGGUGCGUCCCAUUAGGAAGUUGGCGGGGUAACGGCCCACCAAUCCUUCGAUGGGUAGGGGUUCUGAGAGGAAGGUCCCCCACAUUGGAACUGAGAUACGGUCCAAACUCCUACGGGAGGCAGCAGUGAGGAAUAUUGGUCAAUGGGCGAGAGCCUGAACCAGCCAAGUAGCGUGCAGGAUGACGGCCCUAUGGGUUGUAAACUGCUUUUGUAUGGGGAUAAAGUUAGGGACGUGUCCCUAUUUGCAGGUACCAUACGAAUAAGGACCGGCUAAUUCCGUGCCAGCAGCCGCGGUAAUACGGAAGGUCCGGGCGUUAUCCGGAAUUAUUGGGUUUAAAGGGAGCGCAGGCGGGAGUAUAAGUCAGCUGUUAAAUAUCAGGGCCCAACUCUGUUAUGCAGUUGAAACUAUAUUUCUUGAGUACGCACAGGGAUGGCGGAAUUCAGGGUGUAGCGGUGAAAUGCUUAGAUAUCCUGAAGAACUCCGAUCGCGAAGGCAGCCAUCCGGAGCGUAACUGACGCUGAGGCUCGAAGGUGCGGGUAUCGAACAGGAUUAGAUACCCUGGUAGUCCGCACGGUAAACGAUGAAUACUCGCAGUUCGGCCUUUUAUGGUCGAGUUGUCCAGCGAAAGCGUUAAGUAUUCCACCUGGGGAGUACGCCGGCAACGGUGAAACUCAAAGGAAUUGACG
rnacentral:rRNA from 1 species